rnacentral:rRNA from 1 species
UACAUUCAGUUGGGCGACUCUAAUGAGACUGCCGGUGGACAAACCGGAGGAAGGUGGGGAUGACGUCAAGUCCUCAUGGCCCUUAUAGGUGGGGCUACACACGUCAUACAAUGGAAUGGGUACAAAGGGUCGCCAACCCGCAGGGGGAGCCAAUCCCAUAAAGCCAUUCGUAGUCCGGAUCGCAGUCUGCAACUCGACUGCGUGAAGUCGGAAUCGCUAGUAAUCGUGGAUCAGAAUGUCACGGUGAAUACGUUCCCGGGUCCUU